UAUUAAACUUAGUAUUGAUACCCUAUUAUUCCAAAUUAAAGAUAAAUAUAUUGGAGAUUAAAUGUAAAACAUUAAAUCUAAAUAAUUUGGCGGUAUCUUAAAAAAUUAGAGGAAUCUGUUGAUUAAAUGAUAGUCCACGAUAGGAGUGUCCUGAUAGAUUUUUAUAUAUUGUUGUUUUAAUAUUAAUUUAAGAGAAUUUAAUAGAAGUUUAAAAUAUUAAGAUAAUUCAAAUCAAAAUGUAGGAUUGUCAGGUUUAAAUGGAUUACAGUUUAUUUAAGUAUUGAAUUUUGGAUUUUAAUAAUUUAGAUGAAAAAGGAUUUAAUAGUAAGAUUAUAGAAUAUUGUAAUUUGGAUUUUAUCUAAGAUAUGCACAAAUUGCCCGUCAUU
rnacentral:rRNA from 1 species